GCCGGUGUAGCUCAGUUGGCAGAGCAACUGACUUGUAAUCAGUAGGUCGUCCGUUCAAAUCGGAUCGCCGGCU
rnacentral:tRNA from 1 species